GUCCCCUCCAUCGGGCCUGCAACACAUUCAGUCUCCUGGGAUGGUGUUUGACUUGUGUAGCACAAUUUAUAGGUGAACAUAUACCUGGAGGUACAUGUGAUGAGGUCGUCUGUUCCGUUGGCUUGCUGUGUGGAGUCCCCAUAUGGAACUAUUAAAAAAAGGACAUGUCCAACAGACUCAGGUAUCCCGCAAAUACAUGUAAACUGACUUUGCAAGCAGAUCACGUGAAAUACCAACAGUACUAAAGGCCCGUUCCCAUUGUACAGAAAUUCAGUCCAUAAGGGCAGCUUGUUACAGAUUUAUGAGUUUUGCUAUACAUAUCAAAAUAGAAAGACAUGUCCAACAGACUUUGCUACCUUUCAAUUUUUUGUAAACUGACUAUGUUGAUUUACAUGUUAAAAAUUCAAUAUGCUAAGAUGAACUGUUCAUCUGAUUGCAGCCAGAUGAAGGCCGUCGAAGAUCACAAGGGCAGCUUGCUAUUGUACAGGAUUUCAACACAUAAGGGCAGCUUGUUACAUUUUACAGAAACUCAUGAUGUUGGCAAUGGUAAGGGGGCGAAAUCAUGAAGGCACGGUUGGGUUGCAAGGUGCUCAAACUCUCAUAUUGCGAUUUGCCUACAACUUUGUUGGUAUGUUUGGUUGUUUGUAGUUUGUUUCUGUGACCUGUACUAAACUAUAUAGCAGCUAUUUGCAGUCUGACAUACAUCUGCAUAUACAAAACUCAGAGAAGUCAUGGAAAAAACUUGCUGUUAAGCAACUAUAUGGGCGUCAGAAAGAACUUCAGUCAUUU
rnacentral:lncRNA from 1 species